rnacentral:misc_RNA from 1 species
GUUUGGUGUUCAAGUUUUGAUACUUGCAUUGCUAGAAGAGGCAGGCAUUGGAGGCAAAACAGAGCUACCUCUGCUUCUCUGUAUAAGAAGAAAGUAAAAAGUAAUGGAAGCAAUCACCACCACCAUAAUGGAGAAUCAAAACCAAAACCAAAACCACCAUCUCACAGAUCCCCAUUGCCUCCCCCUGUUUCAAAGCCACCAAAAGAAUACGC